UCGCGCUAUGUUGAUUUCUCAUAGCCAGACUGCCUUGUACAGGCAAGAAGGAAGGUGGGGAUGACGUCAAGUCAGCAUGGCCUUUAUGCCCUGGGCUACACACACGCUACAAUGGGUGGGCACAGAGGGUUGCCACGGAGCAAUCCGGAGCGAAUCCCUUAAAACCAUCCUCAGUUCGGAUUGUAGGCUGCAAUCGCCUGCAUGAAGCCGGAGCUGCUAGUAACCGCAGGUCAGCUAUACUGCGGUGAAUACGUUCUCGGGCCUU
rnacentral:rRNA from 1 species